UUUGUAUGUUUUUACAGCAUUUUUGUUGAGCUAAUAUGGUGUCCAUUGAACUCUGUUUGAGAUGCUACAGUUAGAGAAUCACAGAAUGAUGUGUUGGAAUUGACCAUCUCAUUCUAACUCUCCUGCCAUGGGCAGGGACACUUUCCACUACACCAGCUUGCUCAAAGCCUCAUCCAGCCUGACCUUGAACCUUGUGACUGAGAAUCUGCAGUUGGUCACUCAGAUAAAGAGUAGGAACAGAUUAUUUUGCAGCUAACAUAAUGGUUGUCCAAGUAACUUGCAUCAUGAAAUCCAGAAAUUCCUGGAGCAGUAGAGGAAGUAGGAAUCCCUCAGCUGGAAGACAGAGAAGAUGACUACUCUUCUGUCACAGUGCUUUUUCCAUGUUCAAUUUAAACCAUCCUGAAAGUGUACUAGUAGUCAGACUCUGUGGUAGGUGACCAGCUGCUCUGCACCGAGGCCCUCUCAGUGAUGUAUCGUAGUCUGUUGCUGUAAACAUCCCCGACUGGAAGCUGUACCAGCUCCAGCUUUCAGUCAGAUGUUUGCUGCACCUGGCUAUGCUUGGACAACAGCAGAAGGGGAAGCUGACAUGAAUACUUCUGUGCAUUUAUAUUUGUCAAGCAGUGUUUCUAUAAACAGAGAUGAAUUGUCUCCCUAUGCAUUUUCCUGGCUGGUAGGUGUGAUCUGAAAUGUAGUCUGAAAUGGAGAUCCAAAGCUGGUGCAUGAGUUGCUCAAAGACUAGCUGUUUGCUGCCUUGUGGUAUAAACUACAGGAUUAGGCUUCCUUGGAAUGACAAGUAGUGGUAAACUUCUACAGUUACCCAUGAACCCUUUAUUGCUUUAUCAGUUGUCUAUUUUAACAGCUUCUAUUUCUUAGGUCUGUGAGGACAAAUUAUUAUCAAUGCUGUCAAAUACUUAGCAGGCCUCAUAGCUGCUGUGCCUUGCUUUUUGUUGUUUUCUCUGGAAUUCUGUAUUCCAAGUCUCCUUUUGAGUAGGUUGUGCUCCUAAUUGUUAGCUGGGCAUAACCCAACACCAAAAUAAAGGUUAAAAACACAUUGCCCAGUCUGGUUUUGCUGUUCACCCAAUCCACAGAGUGUCCUUGUCUGUGGUGUGGUUUGUGCUGCCCCUACCAUGGUUUGCUUUUCAUGGAAGUAACAGCUUUUGAAAGUAUUCCAUCAGAAGUGAGUCUUCACUGGUUCAGCUCCUGAACAACUUAAAACAGUCAUGUCAUCAGGAAAAGUAUCUGCAGAAAAGCUUCAGUGCUUUCCACUUUUCUCCAAUGGCAUUUGCACAUGCGGUUGCCUGGAUCUUGCCUGGGACUAGACUGCUCUUUCUAAAGGGAUGGCCAGUGAGAGUAACUGCUGCUAAUACAAAAAAUAUUCUUCCAAUAAUUUAGCUCUCCAUUCUUUUG